rnacentral:tRNA from 1 species
GCCUGGGUGGCUCAGUUGGUUGAGCGUCCGACUUCAGCUCAGGUCAUGAUCUCACAGUUCGUGGGUUUGAGCCCCACAUCGGGCU